rnacentral:lncRNA from 1 species
AAAAAGUAUAGAAGUACCGGCUAAGGUGCCAACUGUUCACUUUCAAGGAGGAUUUACCAUAAAAUUCCAUGAUAAGAGCAAGCUUAAGCUCUCUAAAUAAAACAGAUUUUUAAUGGACUUCUGAGACCUGAUGUAAAAAGGAUGGGUGGAUCCCAGGAGAAACAAAAUGCUUGCAUGUAUAAGAGAUAUCUGCCAGAAAUACAUGGAUGACCAGUUACUACAGCAGCAGCAGAAUGUGCCUGCUAUGGCUACUACUUCUAAAACAAAACAAAAGGAAACAGCAGAAAUAAAAAACCAGUCACUGGCAAGAAUAUCUCCUUGCUGUAAAUUGGAUAGGUUUUAAAAAAUUGACAGCACUGUUCCUUCUGUUCUGAACAGGAGAUCUCCAGGUCCAGAACAACUCAUCAUAAAGAUAUCUUCCUUAAUUAGAGUAGAAGUCACAUAUUUUGGGUCCACAUGAAGGUAAUAAGUGGUAGCAGUUAUAUGAAAUUAGAGGCAGGUGUGGUUACUAACAAAAGCAGAAGUAAAAACAAGUAACAUGCCAGGUGCUGAAGAAACUCCCAGAUAGGAAGUUUUGCGUACACUGUGAGCCCAAAUCUAAUCUGAUCUGAAGCUGAAAUUUGACUGCUAGUCCAAACCAUAUAUGUUUUUGCAUUUUGAAUGCAGGGAGAUUGUAAGUAUAUGCUUACUUCUGAGAGUAGUCCUCCAGAGAUUUGCUUUGUUUCCUUAUAGAAUAAUGAAGGUAAGUCAGCAUAUUGCCCAUAAAGUGAUUUUUUUUUUUUUUUUAAACAACUACUGACAUCAUAAUUUGGCAAAUUGAUCUUAAAAAGAUUAAGUAGCUAUGCUGUGGUAAAAUAAAACAUCC